UGGCCGCUGAUGAAGACUGUGAGGUCGAAAGCUUCGGCAUAAACAAAAAAUACAGCGUUUUUGUUUAAAUAAUACAAGUCUUAUAGAGACUUUGUUUAUUAUAUGUAUAUGUAUAUACUUCAAUACAUAAUACAAUAAAUAUUUCUUCUUCUAUUUAUUUUUAUGUGUACCAAUAAAAUUACUAUAAGUACUUACUGCCAAUUCUAGUAUUUAUUUAUACUAAUACAAUUUACUACUAGUAGUAGUUUUGACUUUGCUACUAAAAGUAGUUAUUUAUAUAAUGGCUAGUUACUUAAGUAGUCGUUGCUGCCUUACCAACCACACUUCUACUACCAUCAAUAAUACUAUUAUUAUUUGUGAUAAUUAUAUUAUGUACUAUAUAAUGAUCAAAUGCUGUUAAGAAUGCUAUAUUUAAAAUUUAUGUAACUACAUAUACUUCAUCAUACAAUUUGCAAGUGUUAAUUGUAUGAAUAAUUGUUUAACUUCAGUGAGUGUUGUAAUAAAGCGCCAUAAAGAAACAAAAGAAGUCCUCAACAAAGUCAGAAGAACUUCAGUACUAGCAGAUACAAUAUGUCAAGAGGAGGUGGAAAAACAAGAACGGGAGGGUGAGGAGCAUACAACAAGCAUGUCCACAGAGUCAGAUGUCGAGGUGGUGGAGCUACCUGUCCAGGAUGCAGUCGUUCUUCCAGGAAAUCAUGAGGCAGAUGCUGAUGAUAACAACAACACUCAGAAGCUCUCUGGUGUAGAGAAACAAAAAAGCCUCGGAAAAAAAAUCUGCACUGACAAAACUGUUUGGUGACAUCUUUUCUGAGCGUUGUGCGAGUGUAUCUGAUUCCAAUAAAGUUUCAACUGAACUAAUUGGUUACCGUGCUGAACCAAGUGUCAGGUUGGACGAAAAUCCACUUUCAACAAGAAAAAGUACCCACAAUUAGCUCACAUUGCCAAUUAAUAUUUAGUUACGCAAGCAACUUCAGUUGCAAGUGAGCGCGUGUUCUCCACAGCUGGUGAACUUGCGGAUCCUGCUUGAAAAGUGAAAAUGUGAAAACUUUGACUUGACUUGUAUUUGACUUGUAUAGAAUUGUUUACGUUGAAGUUUAGUUAUAAUUGUUAAAAAAAGUGUUUACUUUCCCCAGUUUUCUAGACUCUAGUCAUGUUCCAUGCUAUCAAGACGUCUUAAUUCAGUCUUGAUAUGGUGAUAUUAGAUGUUGUUUACAGUUUGAUACAUGUUGUUAACAUUUUUUUCAAAAUUAUUGUAACCAAACUUAUGAAAAAUUUGUUCUUAAGCAGACCAUAUUGUGCAUUUUAGCCUUUUGAUGUGGGUGCCUAAUUUAAAGAAAAUAAUAUGUUAACUUCGGUUAUUACCUGUCGAAAUAAGAUAGACUUCAAUUCACAUGAAUCUGAUAUUCUCUAUCUGCUCUAUUCAUUUUUUUUGCCAAUAGUAUUUGAGGUUUUAUCAAGCACAGUUUUUAAUAAAUUCAUUUAUUACUGUCAAGUAUGUGGUAAUUCUACAAAAAUAAUACUUUUUGUGUGCAGUAAUUUAGUCUUAUGUUACACCGGUUAUUUUUUAAUGUAUCUGACAUGUUCAACUUUAAAGAAAAUAAUGUUUUAUUGUAGUUUACAUGUUUUUUUAUAAAGCUGUUUAAUACCCGACCGAAAUUACCCGUACAUUGAAAUUUUGACCCGCUGACCCGACCCGAAGACAUUUUUAGACCCGUGGGAGCACUAUCAUUUAGACUCACAUCGUACAUCGAAUCAUUUCUGUCGUCAGUUGUCAAAACGAAAGAACGGUUAAUAUUCAAAUGCAUUAUUUUUUAUUUCCGGGAUAUUGUUUUAGUAUGUUGCUUUUGCAUUAACACAUAUUAGUGUAUAUGAAGUGAAAACACCAAAAAUAAACAAGGGUUGCGAUAGACACCAAUACACA